AUGGAGGCAGCCAUGACAACACAACUAAAGACACGAAAAAGGACUUCCAGAACUGCUUCAGAAAGUGGCGACAACGAUGGGAUAAAUAUGUUUGAGCACUGCUCCUGCAAUAGUGCCAUCUUUUAAGCUUCUGUACAGUUGGACGGAUUGGAGUAGUGUUUAAUUCUACAUCAUUUCAUCAUGGCUGUGAUCAACAACUAGUUUGAAAAAUCAGCCCAAAGUCAACAAUUGAUUCCGCCAGCUGGUGUGAGCUGGCUGCAGCAUACUGGGGUGAGUGCUGAGCUGUAGUCAU
rnacentral:lncRNA from 1 species